AUCAUCCUGCCAUGUUCGUUACGACGACACCUUGUUUUGAACCAAUGCUGUUUCUUAGGGAGUCUCACAUUGCCGCGCGGCUGGCAUGCCUUCGAAAGGGGAAGUCAAAAGCAACGCUGCGGACACCCACCUGCGAGAGCGGGUUCAGAAACAAGCACGUCGAACGGCAUAGGCGGGUUUUUU
rnacentral:other from 1 species